AUUGAUAAAAUAAUAUAAGAUAUUAUUAAAUAAAGAUAUAUAAAAAUGAUAUCCUAAUCAAACUGGGGAACACGUGAAUUCUUACAUUUACAAAAUAAACACAUGUAAACAUAAAUUGGCCAUUUUAUACCUGUACUGAGUAAAUAAAACUUUGAUGGCUAUACCUUAAUGCACUACUGUUAAGUCCAACAUCAUGCUGUCUGUAGAAACCAAAAAUGCGUUCCUUACUCAAGAUUACUUUUAGCAUCAUGCAAAUUCUCUUCUGGAGUUGAACUUUCCGCGGAAGACGUGUUUGAGGCAAAUAACGCGCGUUUGCGGCAAAAAAAGCCAAUUUGGGUCAUUCGCAUUGCCCCGCGCGAAUUUGCAUCUUUACAUUGAUGUUGUAUCAUGUAAUCUACUCGCGCAAAUAAUUAAUCCACACCACAGAAUUAAAAGACAGUAAUGCUGCUUUUAUUUGUUGUCGGAUUUUUCUGCUCGUGAUCACCAUGUGACUGCGCGAAUGAAAUCUGACACCAGCAUUGCAAGCAGUUAAAGCAGCUAGUGCAUAGUGACUGGAUAUCAACUCGCUGGAAGGCGUUUAAGUUUUAUAUCCCAGCGCGCAGAUCAUGCGGGCACGCAACACACUAACUGAAGUACAGGGAAUAUAAAACGGACAGAUUUGAAUGGAUAAACCGAAAAACCGCAAAUCACAUGCGUGAAUUGAACCGUGGGGGUCCAACCGACCGGUUCAAUAUUGUAUUGAGAAUUGUGGCAUCCCUAGUGCGUGUUUAUUGUACUUAUGUUUAUUUUUCUGUACAGCACUUUGGACAACUUUGGUUGUUGUAUAGUGCUUAACAAAUAAAGUUGGUAUGGUAAGUUUAGCUGUUUAAAAAAAAAGACCGUUGCAAUUUAAAUAAUAAGCUACAAAAACCAAUGCAAAAGACAAAUCAAAAACCUCUGUGUUCAGCGAAUCAUUUUCACGGCAAUAAUUAUUUAAGCCAAUCAGAAUUGACACCUCUGCUACGUUGGUGGCGCACGCAGGAAGAAGCGCGCGACAUGAUGAAGACGGCGGCGCGCUGGUGAACUACUCUGCUGUUUUCGACGAAGCAACACUUGUGAGAGUUUUUUGAUUCAAUACCAGGAAUUGGAACAAUAGCUAUCUGGAACUUCUGGAACUGAGAUCAGUCAGAAGCCUUCAAGCUCAAACAUUAAGGAGUUCUCCCCUCACAGCUGAAAACUUGAUGAUUGCUGUGGACCAGACCAUCGUGAAAGAUGGGGUUACAAAUUGUGGUGAUGCCCUUCUGAUGAUGUUCGUAUCCUACUACUGCCUCAACAUCAGUUAUCCACUGGAACUUGGAGCAACUCUGGAGUUCAUGCAGAGAUGCCUUUUCAGGAUAAAUCCAGAUAGGGGGACCAAAGUGGAGAAGCAGCAAUCUAAAAAACAGCAGUCCGUAAAUCCUAAGGUUCUUUCUUUGAUAACAAAAAUUGCAGACUUUGAAUGGCGAGAGUAGACAUCUCACAUGCCAGCUUCUUUCUGUUUUAUACAUUUCCAUUUAGUUCAUAUACUGUUCUGUAAUGUGUAAAGCGUUCAUUCUGCUUGUAUUUUGUGGCUCACUGUUAUCUUGAGUGAGUGCAGCGUUUUAACGUGUGUUUACACGUUUUAAAUUGUGUACAUUUCAAAGUAAAGAGUUAAAAAAAAGCUCCCAGUAAAGACCGGUAAUUUUAACCAGUGGGGAGAACCAGUUUCAUAAAACGUGUGUG